AACAGGAUUAGAUACCCUGGUAGUCCACACAGUAAACGAUGAAUACUCGCUGUUUGCGAUAUACAGUAAGCGGCCAAGCGAAAGCAUUAAGUAUUCCACCUGGGGAGUACGCCGGCAACGGUGAAACUCAAAGGAAUUGACGGGGGCCCGCACAAGCGGAGGAACAUGUGGUUUAAUUCGAUGAUACGCGAGGAACCUUACCCAGGCUUAAAUUGCAUUUGAAUAAUCUGGAAACAGGUUAGCCGCAAGGCAAAUGUGAAGGUGCUGCAUGGUUGUCGUCAGCUCGUGCCGUGAGGUGUCGGCUUAAGUGCCAUAACGAGCGCAACCCUUAUCUUUAGUUACUAACAGGUUAUGCUGAGGACUCUAGAGAGACUGCCGUCGUAAGAUGUGAGGAAGGUGGGGAUGACGUCAAAUCAGCACGGCCCUUACGUCCGGGGCUACACACGUGUUACAAUGGGGGGUACAGAAGGCAGCUACCUGGCGACAGGAUGCUAAUCCCAAAAACCUCUCUCAGUUCGGAUCGAAGUCUGCAACCCGACUUCGUGAAGCUGGAUUCGCUAGUAAUCGCGCAUCAGCCAUGGCGCGGUGAAUACGUUCCCGGGCCUUGUACACACCGCCCGUCAAGCCAUGAAAGCCGGGGGUACCUGAAGUGCGUAACCGCAGGGAGCGCCCUAGGGUAAAACUGGUGAUUGGGGCUAAGUCGUAACAAGGUAACC
rnacentral:rRNA from 1 species